rnacentral:rRNA from 1 species
UUGGGAAAUUUCAUCGUGAUGGGGAUAGAUCAUUGCAAUUGUUGGUCUUCAACGAGGAAUGCCUAGUAAGCGCGAGUCAUCAGCUCGCGUUGACUACGUCCCUGCCCUUUGUACACACCGCCCGUCGCUCCUACCGAUUGAAUGGUCCGGUGAAGUGUUCGGAUCGCGGCGACGGGGGCGGUUCGCCGCCCCCGACGUCGCGAGAAGUCCAUUGAACCUUAUCAUUUAGAGGAAGGAGAAGUCGUAACAAGGUUUCCGUAGGUGAACCUGCGGAAGGAUCAUUG